rnacentral:rRNA from 1 species
GGGUUGUGAGGUUAAGCGACUAAGCGUACACGGUGGAUGCCCUGGCAGUCAGAGGCGAUGAAGGACGUGCUAAUCUGCGAUAAGCGCCGGUAAGGUGAUAUGAACCGUUAUAACCGGCGAUUUCCGAAUGGGGAAACCCAGUGUGACUCGUCACACUAUCUUAGUGGAAGCGUCUGGAAAGGCGCGCGAUACAGGGUGACAGCCCCGUACACAAAAGCGCAUGUGCUGUGAGCUCGAUGAGUAGGGCGGGACACGUGGUAUCCUGUCUGAAUAUGGGGGGACCAUCCUCCAAGGCUAAAUACUCCUGACUGACCGAUAGUGAACCAGUACCGUGAGGGAAAGGCGAAAAGAACCCCGGCGAGGGGAGUGAAAAAGAACCUGAAACCGUGUACGUACAAGCAGUGGGAGCACAGGUUUACCUGUGUGACUGCGUACCUUUUGUAUAAUGGGUCAGCGACUUAUAUUCUGUAGCAAGGUUAACCGWAUAGGGGAGCCGGAGGGAAACCGAGUCUUAAYYGGGCGUUAAGUUGCAGGGUAUAGACCCGAAACCCGGUGAUCUAGCCAUGGGCAGGUUGAAGGUUGGGUAACACUAACUGGAGGACCGAACCGACUAAUGUUGAAAAAUUAGCGGAUGACCUGUGGCUGGGGGUGAAAGGCCAAUCAAACCGGGAGAUAGCUGGUUCUCCCCGAAAGCUAUUUAGGUAGCGCCUCGUGAAUUCAUCUCCGGGGGUAGAGCACUGUUUCGGCUAGGGGGCCAUCCCGGCUU